AGUAGGAGACUGCAUGGGACGUUCACCUUCCCCAUGCUCAACUUCAUGUCAUCGCUACGUCAAUACCAUCACAUCUACAUUUUCACGUCGAGGAAGUAAUGGUUCAUGGGCUACUUAUGUGGUCCUCGAGGGUUACCAGCUGCCAAGUCCCGUGUUGGUGAGCGCGGAGCUGUGUGUAUCCCAGAUCCUUCAAAAUGGUGCCAAACAUAAAUUCAAGCUCGAUGGCAGCUUCUAUUAGCACUAACCUGAGUGGACACUGCAUUUUAUCUUAUAAAUCUGUUGCAAGCAGGGCUGAUAACAGCACGCCCACGCUGAUUAAAUUGCAAUCGAUUGCUGCAAAAUGUCAGGAAAUGCAAGGAUCUGCUGCCAUUCGAUGUGCAUCGGCGGAAAGUUGAAGAUACAUGAGGGCAGAAUGAUAAGCGAGACAGGAAGAUGCCGCGCUUAUUUCCAUAGCAGCCAUCAGCACUGAAAAGAAGCUUGCAGAUUAUACUGAUGAAGAGAUGUGCCUGUUUUGGAAGCUCCAGGAAAUCACUCGGAGAUGUCCUCUGGCCCUGUGCUGCCUCUCACAGGCUGGUGUUGGUACUACAACUAAAAUUGAGGAGAUAACUCACAAUUGGUUGAGCGGAUCAUUGUGAUCGUCAUUGCUGUUUUGAUCAUCUCCAGUACACCACACACUACAAGACUGGAUAAGGACGCGGCUUCAUUUGGCAGGCGCCUUCGCCAAGGAGAUCGGUAGACAACGGGCGGGCUUCUUCCCUCCGCCCCAAUUGAUCAUCAUCUGGAGCCAAACGCUCCCGCGUGAAGUCACAGACGAGGCUGCUAUGCAAAUGUGCACUGACCCAUCCGUUGAUGGCCUGGCAGCGGUCCACCCAAAGGGAGCGGAGGCUGCCAAAGAAGCUUUCAGGUCAAAUCAACAAUUAUCUGAUGUAAAAGUACAACUGCAUGACAGCUUUUUGACUGCUAUAAACCUUUGUUGAGCCAGAUAGCAUAUUGGGUGGGUGGUUAAAUGGGCCCAGCAUCUCAGACAUUAUAACCACAAUCUGACACAAGAAAUUGAGUAGAACCUUCAAAGUUAACCUCAAGUUGUGAUGGCUGUUAGCACAUCCAUCUUUUCCCUCGUCUAUUAAAAGCUCUUUUCAAAGUCCACCCAAUAAGUAUAGUUCUUGCAAUUCUCAUCAUAUCUCAUGCAAAUAUUAAUUAGUCAUUGAAUUAUUGAUUGAAUCUUCUGUCAUCAUUUUAGUAGAAGAUGAUUUGGCUUCGUGUUUACUACUAAGCUGACAGUAUUUGGCACCGUUCUGCUGUGUUCCAUUAUUUAAAACUAGUAAUUUACCAGCUCCCCUGCAUAUCAUCAAGCAACGCAGUGCGUGCUCACCACUAAAAACCAACGACGGCCUCAGCAGUAAUCAAUAGACUUCAAUAAUCCAACGCGUACUCAUGAAUCAAAAGCAAAGUGGCUUUAAAAAGCUUAGUUCGGCGAUUAACUAAAGAGGAAAGUUAAGGUUUCCACAUUAAAAUGCAGCUUUGUAUCAUCGCCGAUGCUCACGAGAAGAAAUCCACUUCUUGACAUUCAUAGAGUUCAAGCUCUCUGCGACUCAUAUCAUUCUGUGCAAACAGAGUGUGAGGGUAAUAUAAAGGAUGAGCAAGAAUGUGCCUUUGUCUUCCUCUUUCAAAUAGCAGGGGAGGAAUAUUAAUGCAGCUCUUCAGACCUCAAAAGUGCCGUUUGCGCCGUGUUGUUGCGGGGAUACACAUCACGCUAAUUGGCCUGUAAUUAAUCUGCAAUUUAAUAAAUCAACAUUUAAUUCAAGCAAUAGUUCUCAAAAACAGGUUGGGGUGUUUUUUGGGUUUUUUUUUUUUCAAGGGUGAUAAGAGAAUAAAAAGCCAACACACACACACACACGUCAACGCGCAAAAGAACAUGAGUCAAGCAGACUUUUGUCAAGCAUAUGGUUGAUUAGCCCUCGCUGAUUAAAAAGCAUCCUCGGCCCUUCAAAGGGCCCUUGACGCCUCUGCAAAUGUUUGCGUUAAAUCUGUCUGAGCCGCCCCCGAUGGGGUAGCAAGGUGUUAAAAAGCACACAAUAAAGAAAGGGGGAGAAACAGACGGCACAGGGAUGGUCGUGAUAGUGAGGUGAGAGGUGCUAAGACAGGGUGAAGAUGCAGGUGAUGGGUACUAUGCAAGCUGAUUGUGAAAAUCAAAUUUACUUCCCUCAGAUAAUGUGCAAAAAGGACACAUUUCUUGCUCGUUUUUUUAAAAACGACGCUGAUCUGAUGUGGAUGUAUUGACUAUAAACUGCUUUUAUUGUUAUUUCGAUGUCAUUUCAACGGAAAACAGCUGUUGAAUGGUAGAAUGAAAGGUACUAAAUACAACAAUCGAUGGUGGAUGGAAGUCGGCAUGCUUCAAGUAAAUCAUUUUUACUGUGAUAAGGUAUGAAUUCACUGCAACAAAUUAGUUUUUUUUUUUCAUCCAUAACAAAAUCCACCAAUGUUAUAAUCGUAAAAAGAACAUUUAGAAGCUUUUUUUUUAGCGCUAACAAUAUUACACCAUGAAUGAUGUGUAUUGCUAACAACUACAACAGCAAAAAGAUUGCAUGUAUUUAUUUCUUUCUUUAUUUUUUCAAUUAAAAAAAUAUUUAUUUGACUUGAUUUUUAUAUUUAUUUCUUUAUUUAUCAAAACAAACAAAAAUGUUCAGCCCAGUGUUAUUGUACGUUAGAAAAAUUAGCACCCCAUCAUACAAGAUGUAUCAAAAAUAUAAAGAAAUUUGCCAUAAAUACUGUAUAUAGAUACUUUUGGAACAUUUAAGUGAAAUUGGAUGAUUAGUUUAUUAUUCAUUAGCACUAAAACGCCACCUCUACAUUAGCACUGAGGCCUCUACAUGAAUGAGGUUUGUAUUCAUCAUAACAUAAUGUAUUAAAUAAAAAAUAAUAAUAACAAUUGGUGUUUGAUGACAAGGCAAAGACAGCAACACAAAACGUGUCCGGGCUGACCCACUGAUAUUUUACACUUAAAUUAGUUUGUGCCGUUCUCCUUAUUACAAAGCAGCAAAAAGCUGAAGGUCAUAUUACUGCACAUUGUUGUUUUAAAUCAAGCAAAGUUGCAUGAUUAUGUUGGUAAUGGCAUUAUUAAGCGCCCCACUCAAGACUUUGCACGUACACAUCACAGGAAAUGACAUGAUCCCUAAUGCCUACUCAUUUUCUUCGAUCUCAGUUAAUUUUACAUUUGCCUCCCUCUUUCUCUAAAUGAGGUCUGAAUGAAUGUAUGAACCCGGAGCCACAGCUGUAAAAAAAAAAAAAAGCAUGUAAGUUACUCCUGUGCCUCUUUACCAGACACGUGGAGCUUUUCCGUGCUACAGCUCCCCAUUGACUGCUUCUUGAAAAUCCAGGAUUUGAUGGCUAUGAUGAUUCUGUGACUAAUACAGAAUUAUUAGCCAAAUUAGUUGUUUGCCAGUAAGAGGAUUCACAUUUUAAUCUGAUCAUACGUCUCACGUGCAAAUCAAUGUGGCAAAGGUGCCAAAACAACAGCAGCUGUACAGUAGAUUAAAAACAAUCAGAAGACCCCCUCCCCCCCCCCUGAAUUGUAAUUCUUUAUUUUUGUUAAUCCUAUAAACGGAAGUUUGUGUAGUGUAUUUAGUGCUAAGACAUUUGAAGAUAACAUUGGCAUGUGGGUUUAUUUUUUGGCAUUUUGAAUUUCAUUAAAUAGGAUACUGGGGGCGGCAUGAAAAUGGACCACAACAUCCCUUUGGAGCCUGGGUGAAAAUACCGAACAAAAUCAAAACAGCAUGGAAAGUCAACAUUAGCAUGUGUGUUUUGGUUUAUUGUUUCAAAUUUUAUUCAAGGAGGGUAAGUCAAUGUUUACCAUAUUUUUUUUUUGUCUCACCUCUGAUGUGCUUCAAAACUGAGCCCAGCAAGGAAAACAGGCCAAUGCAGCAAAAUGGAGACUGUGGACAUCAAUACAGUACUGCAGUGUCCAGAGGUGAUUCCUAUUUUAAAAACGUGGGGGAAGCCAGAAAAUACUGAAUCUCUGCAGCCAGGUGGAAACUGUGGAGGAAAAUAUUGCAUCAUCCAAAGCUGAGACACAACCGGGUAAGUUACCAUUUUUGUGCGUUUUGCCAUUUUUUGCAGUGUGCCAUGGCAAUGCUAAAUCUAGUCACCCAAAAAAAA